UCAGACGAUGCGUCAUGCAUAUCAAUAAGCGGAGGAAAAGAAACUAGCAAGGAUUCCCCUAGUAACGGCGAGUGAAGCGGGAAGAGCUCAAAUUUGAAAUCUUAAAGGGUUUCCCUUUACGAAUUGUAGUUUAAAGAAGUGUUUUCUGUUGAGGUUUUGGUAAAAGUUCUUUGGAAUAGGACAUCAUAGAGGGUGAGAAUCCCGUAUUUGACCUUUACUUUCAACUUUGUGAUACACUUUCAAAGAGUCGGAUUGUUUGGGAAUGCAGCCCAAAACGGGAGGUAAAUUUCUUCUAAGGCUAAAUAUUGGCGAGAGACCGAUAGCGAACAAGUACCGUGAGGGAAAGAUGAAAAGAACUUUGAAAAGAGAGUUAAAUAGUACGUGAAAUUGUCAAAAGGGAAGCGUUUAACACCAGUGUUGUUUUCUGAAAAUCAACCUCUGUUAGCUUUAUGCAUGUUUGUUUAGACCUAAUCAGCUAUCUUGCAUGUUCUAUUGUUUGCAGUGGUGCACUUUUCAGUUUACAGGUCAACAUCAGUUUUUUUUACCGUAAAAAAGUUAAAGAAAGGUAGCUCAUGGCUCCGGUCGUGAGUGUUAUAGUCUUUUUCCUAUGCGGUAGGAGAGACUGAGGUCUGCAGUGUAGGCUAUUUGGCUAGAUACUCAGGUGCUAUGUGAUACCAUUUCAUAAACAACUUGUUGAUUAUGUUUUGUCUAUUGCAUACUCGCUUGUACUAUCAUACCUACGCUUAGGAUGUUGACUGAUAUGUAGUCGUA
rnacentral:rRNA from 1 species